rfam:Micromonospora nigra strain DSM 43818 genome assembly, contig: Ga0070616_13
GCGGUGCCACCGCCCAAUCGCCGCGAGGCGAGCCGGGGAACCAGGUACGUGGGGUGAAUCCGCGCCAGCGGUAGGGGCCGCUUCCGUCCCGAACCCGUCAGCUAACCCGGUCGGCGGUCGAUGGAAGGGAUC